rnacentral:misc_RNA from 1 species
UACAGAGACCCCGAGCGUUAUCCGGAAUUACUGGGCGUAAAGCGUGAGCAGCUUGUUGUAUUAGUCUGGUGUUAAAUCUUUGGGCUUAACUCAAAGACCGCAUUGGAAACGGUACAACUAGAGCAGAUAAGAGGUAGGCGGAACGUGCAGUGUAGGGGUGAAAUCCAUUGAUAUUGCACGGAACACCAAAAGCGAAGGCAGCCUACUAGUGUCUUGCUGACAGUCAAUCACUAAAGCGUGGGGAUCAAAAAGG